rnacentral:rRNA from 1 species
CGGCGGACGGGUGAGUAACGCGUGGGUAACCUACCCUGUACAUACGGAUAACAUACCGAAAGGUAUGCUAAUACGGGAUAAUAUAUUUGAGAGGCAUCUCUUGAAUAUCAAAGGUGAGCCAGUACAGGAUGGACCCGCGUCUGAUUAGCUAGUUGGUAAGGUAACGGCUUACCAAGGCGACGAUCAGUAGCCGACCUGAGAGGGUGAUCGGCCACAUUGGAACUGAGACACGGUCCAA